GAGGCCUUAGCUUAAUUAAAGCGUCUGGGUUGCAGUCAGAAGAUGUAAGUUAGAACUUUACAUGCCUUG
rnacentral:tRNA from 1 species